CUAUAGAGUCCUGAAAACCAACCACAGUGUUGCACCUGGACCCGGCCCUGGGCUGAGAACAGUUCUAGAAAGGACUUACAGGGGACAUCUGAGAAAGGAAAGGCGGCCGAAGUGGGUCCCUGGAUUCACUACGGCAGAGCGAAGCCGGCAUCUCGAAGCUGGGAGUGCUUUCCUGAUCCAUCCACGCCGCGCAAGCUGACCACACGGAAGGUUCUGCCACUCCAGAGGCUCCGGGAGACCGCAGCCCUGCUUUAGUCACUCCGGAAGCUGACUGAGCUACGCACGCCAGGAGCUUGAGGAAUCGAAGGGGAAUCGAAGGAUUGGCCGAGGCCGCCCGGGCCGGCUGCGAACGUGGGGAGAGGUUUCUGUGAACGCUCACUCACCUGCCUCUCGUGGACAGGAUGCUUCGUUGGUGCCAACAUGGGAAAACAAUGGCCGUGAGAGACUAGAAAAUCUGAUCCCCACAAACCUUAACAGUAAAACAAAACACCCCAGUCCUGCUGGGGCUUGGCUUCUCUAAAGCUCAAUUAUUGGGAAAAACCUUCUUGCCUGAUGGGGCAAAGUUCA